CAAGACUUGACAUCCCGCUGACCGCUCUAGAGAUAGAGCUUCCCUUCGGGGCAGCGGUGACAGGUGGUGCAUGGUUGUCGUCAGCUCGUGUCGUGAGAUGUUGGGUUAAGUCCCGCAACGAGCGCAACCCCUAUGUUGUGUUGCUACCAUUUAGUUGAGCACUUACAACAGACUGCCGGUGACAAACCGGAGGAAGGCGGGGAUGACGUCAAAUCAUCAUGCCCCUUAUGUCUUGGGCUACACACGUGCUACAAUGGACGGUACAAAGGGUUGCGAAGCCGCGAGGUGGAGCCAAUCCCAGAAAGCCGUUCGUAGUUCGGAUUGCAGGCUGCAACUCGCCUGCAUGAAGCCGGAAUUGCUAGUAAUCGCGGAUCAGCAUGCCGCGGUGAAUUCGUUCCCGGGCCUUGUACACACCGCCCGUCACACCAUGGGAGUUGGUAACACCCGAAGUCGGUGAGGUAACUGCUUGCAGAGCCAGCCGCCUAAGGUGGGAUCGAUAACUGGGGUG
rnacentral:rRNA from 1 species